UCUUCUCACCUUCAGCAGACAGUUAUUCCCGAAGACUUUUUCAAAAGCCGAACUGUGAAAAGCAAAAGCUGCCAUCCAAAAUCGCUUUUCUCCACGACACUUUUUUCUCUCCCUCCCUCUCCCUCUCCCUCUAAAUUAUUUUGAGACCAAAUCAUAGUAUUUCGUUCUCAUGCUUCAAGCUGCAGACAAUAAUUGUUGUUCUUGUACCCAUGGAUUAUCCAACACCAAAAUGAAAAUAAUUUUCUAGACAAAAUUCUGGGAAUUAUAAUCAUUAUUCUUAGGUCAUCAAUCUCUCUUUAGAGGAGAACCAUGACAACAUAAAAAAUUAAGAGUUCUCUAACUCUCUCCCUCGUGAGAGUCUUUCUCCUGUGAGAGUUUUUUUUUUCUUUUUUUUUUUUUCCAAGUUUAGUUUCCCCUGCAUUUUUUUCGUUCAUCGUCUCCGAUCUGUGCCUUAACCUCCAAAAUCCUCAGCCAUCAAUUCCAUUCUCCCUUCCCCAUUUUUCCCACCCUCCACCUCCAUGGAUUUCCUCAAAACCUUAUGAUUUCGGAUAUGUUGCCACUUUCCAUGAACGCGUUUUGACGCGGGAAGUAUGUAGAGUUUUGGUGCGGGUGUUCACACCACCACCUCUCAUGGAUUUGCUUCGACGGCCUUGUUGCCUUCGAUGGCUUUGUUGCUGAUGGGUGUACAAUUUGUGGUCGAAGCAAAAUUCCAGUUCGACCCUUCAUGCAAAGUCGCUAAGGAUUGCAACAAGUUGGGUUAUCACUGCAAAUGCAUCGAGGAGACUUGCCACUGUUCAGCAGAAUUUAAGACGAAGUGAAUUUCUGAGAAGGAAACCCUUAACUGAGAGUUCACUGAUGUUCUUCGAAUAAUUGUGCUACUAAAGUGUAAGGGUUGUAAUUCGAUAAACAUAUGUAUAAAUUGACAUCUUUUCCUUAUCCUAGAAAACAUAUAAAUAAUAAUUAAUCAUUCAACUUGUGACGUUUAAGUGCAAUAGUUGGUAACAACAGUAUAACAUUUAGCAAAUUUCACAUUCAAAAUAGAUGAUCGAUAUUUCUCAAUUUGUAGCAAAAUUAUUCAACUUGCGAUUCCAACUUGGGUAAAGAUUCAAACUUUGAAAACAAAUUGCUGAAUUUCCGCUUGCGAUUCCAAAAUUCAUUCAUCCCCAAAAUUGUCAAAUUGUAUACAGCCGGAGGGCUCUAAAGCUGAUUGUGACAAGCAUUGAAUUUU